GUCGGACGCCGUCGAGACAAGUCUCAACUAGUUUCGCUCCACGUACAUGCAAUCAUUAUCGAUGACGUGAAUGCAUUGAAAUUAGAAGACGUUCACCAUCGUUUCAUGGAAAUUAUACUAAUCAAUGGUGGUAUAUACAAUUGCAUACAUACGUGCAAGUGUAUUUCUUUCUUUCUUUCUUUUCUUUAAUUUUAGAAAUGCAUCAAUUUCCAAAUGGAUCGUUCGAUGCAUUAGAAAAUUUUAA
rnacentral:lncRNA from 1 species